ACACGAGAGGCCUUCAGCUCUCAUCUGUUUGCCCAGCUGUUGGACAGGACAAGUUAAAAAAAAACAACCAAAUAAAUAAAAUGACAACAAACGAGGGUUCAUUUAUUUACCCAAAGCAUCAUAAUUAUUUACUUUACAAAAAUGCAAUAUUAUUGCAAUAGUAUUUGUCACGGUGCCUGUGUCAGCCACCUCCCCCUCCCAGCACUCCUGCUCCUGCUCUGCUGAUUGGAACCAGCUGUCCUGAAUCUCCUCAUCUCCUGCCUGCCUUCAUAAGGGUUCUUCUCUUCAGUAUCCAGCGCCAGUUUGUUAUACUCACUCUGGUCCACCUACCAUUGGUCACGCUGGUUCCUUCGUCCAGAGCUUCUCUUCACCCUGGUCUCGCCGUCCUCGGCGCUCACGUCCUUCCUCAAGUUGGUUUCACCGUCCUCAACGUCCACGUCGCUGGAUCCACGGAUCACCUCGCUCGUGGGAAAUACUCCACCAGUUCUCGUCGUCCACAUCUCCGGUGAUGUCAGACCUUCACCCGAGGAUUACUCCACGCACCUUGAAACUGUUUGUUCUCCUCGUAAGAAAAUAAACCACCUUCAAGCUA